rnacentral:rRNA from 1 species
GAUGAACGCUGGCGGCGUGCCUAAUACAUGCAAGUCGAGCGAACAGACGAGGAGCUUGCUCCUCUGACGUUAGCGGCGGACGGGUGAGUAACACGUGGAUAACCUACCUAUAAGACUGGGAUAACUUCGGGAAACCGGAGCUAAUACCGGAUAAUAUAUCGAACCGCAUGGUUCAAUAGUGAAAGACGGUUUUGCUGUCACUUAUAGAUGGAUCCGCGCCGCAUUAGCUAGUUGGUAAGGUAACGGCUUACCAAGGCAACGAUGCGUAGCCGACCUGAGAGGGUGAUCGGCCACACUGGAACUGAGACACGGUCCAGACUCCUACGGGAGGCAGCAGUAGGGAAUCUUCCGCAAUGGGCGAAAGCCUGACGGAGCAACGCCGCGUGAGUGAGGAAGGUCUUCGGAUCGUAAAACUCUGUUAUUAGGGAAGAACAAAUGUGUAAGUAACUAUGCACGUCUUGACGGUACCUAAUCAGAAAGCCACGGCUAACUACGUGC